AUACCGCUGCAGAGUCCCAAACUGGGACGAAACAACUGUCCAGUAU
rnacentral:hammerhead_ribozyme from 1 species